rnacentral:lncRNA from 1 species
AUUACUGCAGGUGCUGUCAGAAUGGUAUAAUUUAAGUCCUGUUUUUUGUUUUUUUUUUUUCUUUUUUCCAGUGCAAGAAAAGGAGCUAAUCAUUAUAAAAACUCCCAUUGUUUAGGAAGUCACUACUCAAAAUGAAUUCAGCUUUUUUGAUGACAAGUGAUUUCUCUCACCCCAAGGAGCAUUUCAGAGCAUCCACACAACAACCAUGCAUGAACCCCAGCUGGUGAAGGUAUGGGACCCUCCUUUCAGCUGUGGUACAAUGAUCCAUCUGUCUGAGAACAUUCCCAUUUAUCCUCCAGGGAGAGAAUGUAUCACACUCGGGCCUGUCUGAACUAUCAUUUCGUCUGCAAGAGGCAGAACAAGGACUGAACAAGGAACUGGGUGAAAUAAAGUCAACCUAAACCUGUGGGUUAAUACCUGC